UUUUCCUUUCUUUUUCCUUUUCUCUCGGUGGGGCUGCUAUUUUGCUUGAGCUUCAGAAUGGACCCACCACAGGGAAAUAAAUUGAGAGUAAAGAAACGUGUCUCAUCUCAAGAUGAUAUGAAAGAUACUUCUGAAGUUAUCUUAAGAUUUUAAAACCAGAAAGACAAAUAAUGCUCAAGAAUUUCAAGUCUGGUGAAAGCAUUUCACUGCUCCAUGACUCUUGCAAAGAGGCCUGUUUUUUCAGACUGCCUUUAUCAGUUAUCCAUCAUGACCACGUCUUUCUGGACAGGACUCUUUGGGGGUGCAGUGCUGCCCUGUCAAGAAGAUGGCUUGUAUCCUGUGGUGUAUACAGAAACAACUAAACCAAUGAUGUACUGUGAAUUGUUAAAAAGUUCCCAGCUCUGAUUUCACAAUUACCAGGUUUGUGCUGAUGCAUAAAAUUACACUGGGAUGGAAAUACCAUGGUGAACCAGACUGGAACACAAAUGGUUGUGAGUUUUUCAUGUUUGCCUAAAGCCAGGUGAGUGCUGGUGAACCAGAAAAGCAGAGUAUAAAGUGCCAUGUUCUUCACCUGGCUUCCUGCAGUGGCCAGCUUUUAUGGCUGGUGAGGACUGCUACAUUGAAUAGUUGGUGUUGGUG
rnacentral:lncRNA from 1 species